UGGUAAGAUGAGAGGCUCCCCUACGGUUCUACUACAACGAGAUGCAACAAACUAUUGCAUUCACACCGUUGCAUCACCCCUGCCAUCGCAAAGCCGGUCUUUUGCCGCCGUCCAUCAGCUGGGAUCGUACUAGAAUCACUGCGCUCUUCGUGACUCAAGGCCUCCGAUCAACGAGCCAAGUGGGCACACGAGACCAGCUGCUCUCGUGUUCCGACAGAUCCGGAGAAAGACGGGAAGGAUGAGCAAACCACCGUACCAAAUUCGUUGUCAGCGAUAUAUUCCGCCAGACCGGUGGAGCGGCAUGGUCCACGAAAUACGAUGAAAACAAACAAUUCUUCCUCCACCAUACCGGAUAGUAUACACGAGCAGUUACAGUGAGGCAGCAAGCCAGCUGUUUGUCACUGGCGUCAUUCGUGUCGGCUGCACCACAACAACAGCAUGUCCGUUUCGACCCAUACCGAUGGCUGGCAGACCGAUCAGUGGAAAAGAUUCUUGAGGAGCGAUGUAUUCGUUGGAUUCGAACGCGAUAAUCGGAAAGUUUGAAAUCGAACCGGUUUCAAAAUGAUCAAAUACGAUACAGACACGCAGCACACGAGAUAGCGACACACACACACACACGCGCCUAAGAAUCAUUAGCUUUAUCGAAUGCCCUUGAUAGUCGUUAUUAAGCCCAGAAACCCAAGGAGUGGGGAGUCUGAUGUUAAUUAUCCUACGUCAUCCCUGAUAAGAUGGAUAACGGUAGGGCCUGUAAGCCAGCCCGCC